rnacentral:rRNA from 1 species
CCCUAUGGGGUGCAGCAGGCGCGAAACCUUUACAAUGCACGCAAGUGUGAUAAGGGAACCCAAAGUGCUCAUGUUUUUACAUGGGCUUUUGCCAAAUGUAAAUAGUUUGGCGAAUAAGUGGUGGGUAAGACGGGUGCCAGCCGCCGCGGUAACACCUGCGCCACGAGUGGGAACCACGAUUAUUGGGCCUAAAGCGUCCGUAGCCGGUUAAGUAAAUCUCUUGUGAAAUCAUCAGGCUUAACUUGAUGACGUGCAGGAAACACUGCUUAGCUUGGAACCGGGAGGAGCUGGAAGUAUGCAGAGGGGAGCGGUAAAAUGCUAUAAUCCUCUGUAGACUACCUGUGGCGAAGGCGUCCAGCUAGAACGGAUUCGACGGUGAGGGACGAAAGCCAGGGGAGCGAACCGGAUUAGAUACCCGAGUAGUCCUGGCUGUAAACUCUGCGAGCUAGGUGUUGCAUAUCCGCUAGGAUAUGCAGUGUCGAAGAGAAGUCGUUUAGCUCGCCGCCUGGGAAGUAUGGUCGCAAGACUGAAACUUAAAGGAAUUGGCGGGGGAGCACCACAAGGGGUGCGGCGUGCGGUUCAAUCUAAUUCAACGCAGAAAAAUCUCACCAGAGGCGACGGCAGGAUGAAAGUCACGCUAAAGACCUUACUUGACGAGCCGAGAGGUAGUGCAUGGCC